AUCAGCACGAACGGUCUUACCAGCCCCUUUCAAUAUGAUUAAAAAGAAAAAGACGAGAUCUUCAAAACCGUUGAACCGCCCAUGACCAGCCACAAACUUUGUACUAUGGAUGUUGUAUUUUCCCUUUUAUGCCUUCAAAUAGACUGCUAGCCUCUGCCUUAUCACCGCUUUGCAGCCGCGGUUCAAAGGCAGGGGAGGAGGAUGACGCCGACAACGUGGAACCAUGGGCUGACACUUGAGAUCCCACCAGCAUUGAUGGUAAGACGUGUGUAAAAUCUCCGCGGGCACUGUGCCGGGACAGCAGUGUGUGCUCUCACUGGAGAGGGGACCGGAGGAAAGACUGGCAGCACCAAACUCGGAUAAGCCACAGCCUUUCCACGAGGGGGACUGCUGAGCAUAUGUUUGCAUGUAUAAUUCAUAUAAACACAUAUGUGAUUAUUUUUAAAAAUAUGGUGGCCCCGCAUCUUCAAGUUUCCAAGGAGAGUCAACAUUUCAAAUAUUCUGUUCAGUCGUUAGAUCACUUAUUCUGAUUUGAGAGCACAGAACAGAUGUCACCUGAGGAAGAGUUUUGAAGCGAAUAAAUCCUUCGGUUGGCUCCUACA
rnacentral:lncRNA from 1 species